rnacentral:rRNA from 1 species
GAUGAACGCUAGCGGCAGGCUUAAUACAUGCAAGUCGAGGGGCAACAGGGGGUAGCAAUACCUGCUGGCGACCGGCAAACGGGUGCGGAACACGUACAGAACCUUCCUUUAAGCGGGGGAUAGCCCAUAGAAAUGUGGAUUAAUACCCCAUAGUAAUAUUGUCUGGCAUCAGAUGGUAUUUAAAGAUUUAUCACUUAAAGAUGGCUGUGCGGCUGAUUAGGUAGUUGGUUGAGGAACGGCUCACCAAGCCAACGAUCAGUAACUGGUGUGAGAGCACGACCAGUCACACGGGCACUGAGACACGGGCCCGACUCCUACGGGAGGCAGCAGUAAGGAAUAUUGGUCAAUGGACGCAAGUCUGAACCAGCCAUGCCGCGUGAA